rnacentral:rRNA from 1 species
UACGUAGGGUGCAAGCGUUAAUCGGAAUUACUGGGCGUAAAGCGUGCGCAGGCGGUUUUGUAAGCCAGAUGUGAAAUCCCCGGGCUUAACCUGGGAACUGCAUUUGUGACUGGCAAGCUAGAGUAUGACAGAGGGGGGUAGAAUUCCACGUGUAGCAGUGAAAUGCGUAGAGAUGUGGAGGAAUACCGAUGGCGAAGGCAGCCCCCUGGGCCAAUACUGACGCUCAUGCACGAAAGCGUGGGGAGCAAACAGG